GCAUUGUUUGUUCAGUGGUAGAAUUCUCCCCUCCUAUGUGGGAGACCUGGGUUUGAUUCCCAGGCUAUGCA
rnacentral:tRNA from 1 species